AAACUUCACAAUGGAGGCAACUCCGAUGAGGGAAUUCCUAGUGCUAGCACAUUAGUGUUAGCUUUUCUUAAGCGUAGAUAACUUAAGGAAUAAGGGCUGGGUAAGUCGGGUGCCAGCCGCCGCGGUAAUACCCGCAGCCCAAGUGGUGGUCGAUUUUAUUGAGUCUAAAACGUUCGUAGCCGGUUUGUUAAAUCCUUGGGUAAAUCGAGAUGCUUAACAUUUCGAAUUCCGAGGAGACUGGCAAACUUGGGACCGGGAGAGGCAAGAGGUACUUCUGGGGUAGGGGUAAAAUCCUGUAAUCCUAGAAGGACCACCGGUGGCGAAGGCGUCUUGCUAGAACGGAUCCGACGGUGAGGGACGAAGCCCUGGGUCGCAAACGGGAUUAGAUACCCCGGUAGUCCAGGGUGUAAACGCUGCAGACUUGGUGUUGGGGACCCUUUGGGGGUGUUCAGUGCCGGAGAGAAGUUGUUAAGUCUGCUACUUGGGGAGUACGUCCGCAAGGAUGAAACUUAAAGGAAUU
rnacentral:rRNA from 1 species